GAAAAGAAAAGAAAAGAAAAUGAAGGAAAUUUGGAAUUAUGACCUCAUGCUUAUGUCAUUACAAUACCUCCACCAAUCACCAUUCACUAAAUACACUUAAAACACAAAAAUAUGGGCUGAAAAAUCAAAAAAAAAUUCUGCUCCCUUCUUUCUUCUUCCUUUAGCAGAGAACCACUUCACACUCCCUUCCACCAUUAACAAACUUCACCCAAGCUUCAUUUCACCUACCA
rnacentral:misc_RNA from 1 species